CCCCAACAUCAUCUUGCUUCUCCAAUUGAGUCUGAGACAAGUCUAAUAACUUAUCAUGAAACUGGUUGAAAUUUUACAGCUUUACAAAUACAUUUGAAAGUCUUUCCCCUUAGAGGAGUACAGGGUCAAGGAAAUAUUUGGGUAAAUUUUAGCAGACUUAAUCUACGGCUAUGGACACUGUAAAAGUACACAGUGACCUGAAACCAGAUUAUAUUCUGUUAGAGAAGAAUGGAAAAGUCAAAAUCAUCAACUUUGGCCUUCAAGGCAAGUCAAACUUGGGCAAAUGCUGAACUGGCAGCAUGGUGCUUAUCCUAAUGGUGCACCUGAUCUCUUCCUAGGAAAACAUUAGGAUGUUCCAAAAACAAAACAAAACAAAACAAAACAAAACAAAAAAAACAACCCCCCCAACAUAUGGACUUAGGAGUAGGGUUACAUUUUGUCAUACAAGUGCUGAGGAGACAGGUUGUGAGUGGUAUGUAUCCAGCCCACUGUGGGAUGUCAGAAGAGGCAGCUUAGCCUCCUAAUGACAGUGAAUCACAGAUAUGGGCUAACAGUCACAUAGGUGAUGACACACCCAUGCUCAAUGAAGACUGUAAGUGGUUCCCAAAUCCCUAUGAGGAAAUGAUCCCUCUCAUGCCAGAUACUCCACUUGUGAAAGCAAUGUAAUAUAUUGGGUUUUGAGGCCAAGAGAUUAUAGAUUCACUGUAUCAGGGAAGGUACAACCAGAGCAUGGCAUCUUACUACUUAAUGUAAGGGGAAGCUAUUCACCGGCAUGGCUGCAUAACCCAGGCUCAGCAAGUUUGUCCAGUUAGGGCCCCAUUCCCCACCCUUGCUGAUGGCACUUAUUUCCCUCUAGGACUAAAGAGGAAUAGAAGUGAGUACACCGUAGACACAUUGGUCUCAUCUUCCAAUGGUCGAGUGUCUGACUUUGAUCAUCACCUAGUCAAAGAGGCAGAGGCGCCUACCCUUCUUUUCAGGAUACUCCCAAUGCCACCCACACUGAAUAAAGCAUACAUACAUGCUAGAAGUGCCCUGUGUCUUCAAUCAACAAUCAACCACACUUAGAAGAGCAGUCGCAAUGAGAACACAGAGGACAACCUACUUUCCUGCUGUUUCUCAGCUGAGAGGACUUUCCCCAGCUAGGGCCUUCCCAGAGGCUUUGAAAGAACGAACAAAUUUCAAUGGGGAAAUUCACUGAUGAAGUUGUGUUGCUGCUUUCUUUCAAGAAAGAAACUUUAUAUGGGGAGAAGAGAGUGUUCUCCCAGAAAUGAGGCACAAGGCGAUCGUCCAGAGAACAUGCAGAAGGCACAACCCAGGUACAUUUGUGCUUUGUCCAUCCCAGUUUGCUCUGUGCUCAUUCUUCCUCUGGCUCUGUUUUCCAGUUCCCCAUAAUUCUUACCUUCUUAUAUUCUCUAAAUAUUUUAUGAUUCUUCCUCUAACCCAAGCCUCCUCCCUCUUCUGGAUUUCUUUUCUUCCCAGCAAGGACUCAAUAUGACUGCUGUGUAUCCCACUCUAGAGCGUGGUCUUGCUGACUGCAUCCCUUCACCUGAAGUUUAUCACACUCUAAAAACACCAGUUUCCACAAGGUGAGGUGGAGAGUGCUAUGACCUCAAGGAAUCUUUCCAUAAGUUACUGGUCCUAGCACAAGUGGCCAUUAAUCACAAGACGCACAGAACACAUUCUUAUGUUUACGAAAGUAACAUCACAUUCCAUUCAGCCUCAAAUCUAAUAACCAGUAAUGCCUUUGUAAACGUGCAAUUAGAGUUGUUGCAACAGUGCAGAUCCUGUGAAAAGGUAGGUCCUGCAACAGCGGAGGCACUGAAAUUGUGCAGGUUCUGUGACAGUGAAGGUCCUUUGAAAGUGGAGGCACUGUGAUAGGGGAGGUCAUUCUACCUCUAGUGGAGGUGCUGCAAAAUUGAAGGUUCGGCUACAGUGGAGGUCAUGUGACAACUGAGGUCCAGCAAUUGGAAUUGCUGAUACAGGAG
ensembl:lncRNA